rnacentral:rRNA from 1 species
UAAUACAGAGGUCCCAAGCGUUGUUCGGAUUUACUGGGCGUAAAGGGUGCGUAGGCGGCGAGGAAAGUUUGAGGUGAAAUCUCCAGGCUUAACUUGGAAAAUGCCUUGAAGACUUCCUUGCUCGAGGGUCGUAGAGGAGACUGGAAUUCUCGGUGUAGCAGUGAAAUGCGUAGAUAUCGAGAGGAACACCAGUGGCGAAAGCGGGUCUCUGGACGACACCUGACGCUGAGGCACGAAAGCCAGGGGAGCAAACGGG